rnacentral:rRNA from 1 species
AGUGAACGUUGGCGGCGUGGAUUAGGCAUGCAAGUCGAGCGAGAACCGUAGCAAUACGGGGACAGCGGCGAAAGGGACAGUAAUGUGUAGGUACCUACCCCCGGGUUCGGGAUAGCUGCGGGAAACUGCAGGUAAUACCGAAUAAUGUCUCCGGACCAAAGGUGUGAUUCCACCUGGGGAGGGGCCUGCAUCCUAUUAGCUUGUUGGUGGGGUAACGGCCUACCAAGGCGACGAUGGGUAGCGGGUGUGAGAGCAUGACCCGCGUCAUUGGGACUGAGACACUGCCCAGACACCUACGGGUGGCUGCAGUCGGGAAUCUUCGGCAAUGGGCGAAAGCCUGACCGAGCGACGCCGCGUGCGGGAUGAAGGCCUUCGGGUUGUAAACCGCUGUCGUAGAGGAGGAAAUGCAAGGGGGUUCUCCCCUUUGCUUGACCUAUUCUAGGAGGAAGUACGGGCUAAGUUCGUGCCAGCCGCCGCAGUAACAC